GACGAACGCUGGCGGCGUGCUUAACACAUGCAAGUCGAACGGAAAGGCCCUGCUUUUGUGGGGUGCUCGAGUGGCGAACGGGUGAGUAACACGUGAGUAACCUGCCCUUGACUUUGGGAUAACUUCAGGAAACUGGGGCUAAUACCGGAUAGGAGCUCCUGCUGCAUGGUGGGGGUUGGAAAGUUUCGGCGGUUGGGGAUGGACUCGCGGCUUAUCAGCUUGUUGGUGGGGUAGUGGCUUACCAAGGCUUUGACGGGUAGCCGGCCUGAGAGGGUGACCGGCCACAUUGGAACUGAGAUACGGCCCAGACUCCUACGGGAGGCAGCAGUGGGGAAUAUUGCACAAUGGGCGGAAGCCUGAUGCAGCAACGCCGCGUGCGGGAUGACGGCCUUCGGGCUGUAAACCGCUUUCGCCUGUGACGAAGCGUGAGUGACGGUAAUGGGUAAAGAAGCACCGGCUAACUACGUG
rnacentral:rRNA from 1 species